UUCUUAUUUUAAAACAUCUUUCAGUCAGCAUUAGCUUUUAAUUGAGCUAUUUUCAAGAAUCAACAAAUCAUAUCUAAAUACAAAUCAGUUCUUUCUACAUGUUUCAAAUGAUUUGACUCAAGAGGACUCUGUUGAUGUCGUCUGAACUCUUCACGAUGAACGAUCGUCUGUCCAUCACAGAUCAGAUCCUCCUUCUCUAUGUUCAUGAGCUUCAUCUGAAAAUCACUGAACAGCAUUUGCAGGCUGCUCAGGAAGCGCUGAACUGGAUUUUUUCUGCUCAGGAGAAGGAAGAAGAUAGGUGUGAAAAACCAAAGGACUGUUUCAAGCCUGCAAAAGGAGAACUGCAGCCUAAAACCAGAGGAGACGCUCCAGCAAGAGCCUGUUGAAGAGGAAGUGCUGAAGAUAGCAGUGGAAGAAGCAGCUGCGUCAGUGCAGGAGACCGUGAGAGAUCAGACCUCUGUGGAAGCUGAAGACACCAGUGCAAUGGAAAAGAAGUCCAGGAGGAAAAGAAAGACCUGCGGCUGCUUCUCAUGGUUAAGGAGCUGCAGACGUUAGUUCCUUCAUCUCAAGCUCAUUAUCUGAGAUGAAGUUACUGACAAAAAGAUGCCUCUCCUUUGUAUCAAUUUCAUUCUGUUAACAGACAAUAAAAAUGAUAAUGCUAUAUUAUAA